UACGUAGGGGCCUAGCGUUGUCCGGAAUUAUUGGGCGUAAAGAGCUCGUAGGCGGUUCGGCAAGUCGGAUGUGAAAUCUCCACGCUCAACGUGGAGGGGCCAUUCGAAACUGCCGUGACUCGAGUCCGGUAGGGGAGUGUGGAAUUCCCGGUGUAGCGGUGAAAUGCGCAGAUAUCGGGAGGAACAUCAGUAGCGAAGGCGGCACUCUGGGCCGGUACUGACGCUGAGGAGCGAAAGCGUGGGGAGCGAACAGG
rnacentral:rRNA from 1 species